rnacentral:lncRNA from 1 species
GGAUAGUUACACCGUGUCAAACAAUUUUGCGAAAAAGUCAAAGUUAUCUCGAAGCAAUAGGUUGACCGUGUUACAUCAUAAGAAGAUUUUCAUAUUUUUAUAUUGUUCUUGUUAAGUGUAGCUUACAAUAAAAACCAUUAAUUAAUCUAGCUACUCGAUCUGUGGGGGUCUUCUUUUUGUUUUUUCCACAUAAUUUUUUUAACAAAUACUAUAAUAAUUUUAAUUGAGUAAUUUAAUUUG